rnacentral:rRNA from 1 species
UAUAGAUGGAUCCGCGCUGCAUUAGCUAGUUGGUAAGGUAACGGCUUACCAAGGCAACGAUGCAUAGCCGACCUGAGAGGGUGAUCGGCCACACUGGAACUGAGACACGGUCCAGACUCCUACGGGAGGCAGCAGUAGGGAAUCUUCCGCAAUGGGCGAAAGCCUGACGGAGCAACGCCGCGUGAGUGAUGAAGGUCUUCGGAUCGUAAAACUCUGUUAUUAGGGAAGAACAUAUGUGUAAGUAACUGUGCACAUCUUGACGGUACCUAAUCAGAAAGCCACGGCUAACUACGUGCCAGCAGCCGCGGUAAUACGUAGGUGGCAAGCGUUAUCCGGAAUUAUUGGGCGUAAAGCGCGCGUAGGCGGUUUUUUAAGUCUGAUGUGAAAGCCCACGGCUCAACCGUGGAGGGUCAUUGGAAACUGGAAAACUUGAGUGCAGAAGAGGAAAGUGGAAUUCCAUGUGUAGCGGUGAAAUGCGCAGAGAUAUGGAGGAACACCAGUGGCGAAGGCGACUUUCUGGUCUGUAACUGACGCUGAUGUGCGAAAGCGUGGGGAUCAAACAGGAUUAGAUACCCUGGUAGUCCACGCCGUAAACGAUGAGUGCUAAGUGUUAGGGGGUUUCCGCCCCUUAGUGCUGCAGCUAACGCAUUAAGCACUCCGCCUGGGGAGUACGACCGCAAGGUUGAAAC